rnacentral:rRNA from 1 species
GGAGGCAGCUAACACAUGCAAGUCGAGCGGUAGCACAGAGAGCUUGCUCUCGGGUGACGAGCGGCGGACGGGUGAGUAAUGUCUGGGAAACUGCCUGAUGGAGGGGGAUAACUACUGGAAACGGUAGCUAAUACCGCAUAACGUCGCAAGACCAAAGUGGGGGACCUUCGGGCCUCAUGCCAUCAGAUGUGCCCAGAUGGGAUUAGCUAGUAGGUGGGGUAACGGCUCACCUAGGCGACGAUCCCUAGCUGGUCUGAGAGGAUGACCAGCCACACUGGAACUGAGACACGGUCCAGACUCCUACGGGAGGCAGCAGUGGGGAAUAUUGCACAAUGGGCGCAAGCCUGAUGCAGCCAUGCCGCGUGUGUGAAGAAGGCCUUCGGGUUGUAAAGCACUUUCAGCGGGGAGGAAGGCGUUGAGGUUAAUAACCUUGUCGAUUGACGUUACCCGCAGAAGAAGCACCGGCUAACUCCGUGCCAGCAGCCGCGGUAAUACGGAGGGUGCAAGCGUUAAUCGGAAUUACUGGGCGUAAAGCGCACGCAGGCGGUCUGUCAAGUCGGAUGUGAAAUCCCCGGGCUCAACCUGGGAACUGCAUUCGAAACUGGCAGGCUAGAGUCUUGUAGAGGGGGGUAGAAUUCCAGGUGUAGCGGUGAAAUGCGUAGAGAUCUGGAGGAAUACCGGUGGCGAAGGCGGCCCCCUGGACAAAGACUGACGCUCAGGUGCGAAAGCGUGGGGAGCAAACAGGAUUAGU